AUAGCGUAUAUUAAAGUUGUUGCAGUUAAAAAGCUCGUAGUUGGAUUUCAAGGGAUGCAGCGUGGAUACACGUGUGCGCCCUACCAGUCUUUGACUGUUACUGUGAGAAAAUUAGAGUGUUUCAAGCAGGCUGUUGCAGGAAUACAUUAGCAUGGAAUAACGAAUGUGUCUAGAAUCUUGGUUAAUUCUAGAUUACGAUUAAUAGGGACAGUUGGGGGCAUUAGUAUUUAAUUGUCAGAGGUGAAAUUCUUGGAUUUGUUAAAGACUAACGUAUG
rnacentral:rRNA from 1 species